AGGAGAGAUUGUGACAUAUCUCUGGAACCAGAACCUUAGUGAUGUGACGCUUCUCUCCUGCUGAAGCCAUGCCCACACAAGGGAAAGUGACUUAUCACUGGGCCCAGCACACAGGUCUUUUCCCACAGGGAGCAUUGUGAAACAUCACUGGGCUCAGCCACCAGGUUAUGUGACUCUUCUGCCUGUGCCCUGCUUCCAGAAAAUAUUGUGACAUUCCUCAUACAGCAUCCAGGUGAUGUGACUCUUCUGCUCAUUUUCUACUUACAGGAGACAUGCCCAAAAAAGGGAUUGUGGCAUAUCUCUGAGCCCAGCACCCAAAUGUUGUGACUCUCCUGCCUGAGCUGUGCCUAGAGAAAAUAUUAUAAUAUGUCACCGGACCCUGCAUGCAAGUGAUCCAAUUCUCCAGUCUGGGCCUUGCCCAUAGAGGAGAUUGAGACAUAUUCCAGGUGAAGAAUUCAGGUCAUGCAAAUGGAGGCGGAUUUUGACAUAUCAUAAAGCCAACAUAAUACACAGUCUGCAGGUGGAAUUGGGACUCUCAUGCAUGGAUCCAGUUCAUCAUUGAUACUGUGACUCAUGUACUUGGAUGCAACUCACAGGAGGUGUUGACGCUUUUUACCUGAAGCUGGGACAUGUGUGGAAUUGUGAAUCCUAGCCCUAGAUCUUCCCACAGGUCAUGCAAAUGGAGGGGGAUUGUUACAUAUCAUAGGGCCAACACAAAAAUAAUGUAAAACUCCUGCCUGAGCCAUGCCCAUAGAAGGCAUUGUGACAUAUCACCCGUCACAGCACUCAGGUGGGAUUUUGACAUAUAACUGCACCCAGCACACAGGUGAAGUAUCUCGUAUGCUCAUCCUGCCAAAAGUUAUGAGUGUCACCCUCACACAUGGACAGAGACCUCUGGUUAGGUCUUGAAUCUUGUACAUGGACACAGUCCGCAGUUGGAAUGUCAUAUGUAGAUCCAGCCACAGGUGUGAUGUUGACCUAUUUAUAAAGUUAGCUCACAGGCACAUUGAUAACUCUCAUACCUGGAUCCAGCCAAUAAAAGAUAUGUUGACUA
rnacentral:lncRNA from 1 species